rnacentral:rRNA from 1 species
AGAGUGAACGCUGGCGGCAGGCCUAACACAUGCAAGUCGAACGGCAGCACAGGGGAGCUUGCUCCCUGGGUGGCGAGUGGCGGACGGGUGAGGAAUGCGUCGGAAUCUGCCUUUUCGUGGGGGAUAACGUAGGGAAACUUACGCUAAUACCGCAUGCGACCCUGGUUCGGAGGAUCAGGGUGAAAGCGGGGGACCUUCGGGCCUCGCGCGGAAAGAUGAGCCGACGCCGGAUUAGCUAGUUGGCGGGUAACGG